rnacentral:rRNA from 1 species
GGAAUGGAUUAAGAGCUUGCUCUUAUGAAGUUAGCGGCGGACGGGUGAGUAACACGUGGGUAACCUGCCCAUAAGACUGGGAUAACUCCGGGAAACCGGGGCUAAUACCGGAUAACAUUUUGAACCGCAUGGUUCGAAAUUGAAAGGCGGCUUCGGCUGUCACUUAUGGAUGGACCCGCGUCGCAUUAGCUAGUUGGUGAGGUAACGGCUCACCAAGGCAACGAUGCGUAGCCGACCUGAGAGGGUGAUCGGCCACACUGGGACUGAGACACGGCCCAGACUCCUACGGGAGGCAGCAGUAGGGAAUCUUCCGCAAUGGACGAAAGUCUGACGGAGCAACGCCGCGUGAGUGAUGAAGGCUUUCGGGUCGUAAAACUCUGUUGUUAGGGAAGAACAAGUGCUAGUUGAAUAAGCUGGCACCUUGACGGUACCUAACCAGAAAGCCACGGCUAACUACGUGCCAGCAGCCGCGGUAAUACGUAGGUGGCAAGCGUUAUCCGGAAUUAUUGGGCGUAAAGCGCGCGCAGGUGGUUUCUUAAGUCUGAUGUGAAAGCCCACGGCUCAACCGUGGAGGGUCAUUGGAAACUGGGAGACUUGAGUGCAGAAGAGGAAAGUGGAAUUCCAUGUGUAGCGGUGAAAUGCGUAGAGAUAUGGAGGAACACCAGUGGCGAAGGCGACUUUCUGGUCUGUAACUGACACUGAGGCGCGAAAGCGUGGGGAGCAAACAGGAUUAGAUAC